ACAAACCACAAGCAUAGACUCGGAGAAGACCAGGCACGACCACUGUGACGUCACUUCCCUUAAUAAUUAUAUCCUUACACUAUACACGUUUCACAACUAUAAUUUGAACACCUGCUUGCCAUAAAUAAAUAUAUGUUUACACUAUACACAAGUGAAUCAUGUUGUGUCAUUUACAUGACGGGUAAAUUAAAUGAACAUGUCUUGAUUAGGUAUGACAUACUUUGGACAAGGAAGAGACCUGCAGAUAAAUAACACAAUUAAACAAACAAGUACUGAAAUAUAAGUGUUCCGCAUUAAGCUUGCUAGUAAGGAAAAUAUCAGGAGAUGGCUUGCUAGCUUUCACCUCUAGAUCACCCCCAUGGCAACUUGAUACAUAGCAAGAAAACAUUCCCCAAUGGUUACAAACCUUCGGUGCAAAAUGACAUUCAUGUCUGAAGACAUCACUAAGAAAUAUCAGGUUCUAUAUGAGUCUGCCUUAUUAAAGAACAGAGAGCAAUGAAGAAAAGUGCAGUACAUUAAAUCAAGGCCAAAUGAUACAUUGCAUGCAUCAGCGAGCAGAAAAAUAAAUGGUGUCUAAUAUUAUAUUUUCCCCUUCCAAUAGAGAGACUCCUAUAUGUUUUCCCCUUCCUGCCCUGUGUGUGUUUUCUUUGCGCGAAAGUUCCUGUUUCAGUCAGAGAGGUAGAACAAUCAGAAAAUGAGAAGGUCUUUCACUUCCUUACAGAAUGAAAUUUCUGUCUUGCAAGUUUACAAAGUCAUCAAGUUAAGCACUUGCGAUAAAAUUACCUGACUCAGAAAGCUGAUAUCACUCAUACAAAAAACAUGUUAUACAAUAUUGAGUUUUGACAUAGCUGGCUGUUAUACAAGUUAUACAAGUUGACCCCAGCCUGUUAAAAUUUAUACAUGCAUAUCAACCAGUGGAACUCCUCACUUGGGGGAGCUGGGGCAGGCCAGUGGGUACCUCAUGGGAUGUGGGGCAGGCCGUCCCCAUGCUCUCUCUCUGCUGUUUAUGUAGCAAUUCGCCUUGUAGUCUGAAGCAUACGAACUUGUAUCAGCAUCUAUAUGUUUAUGUCCCUAUCAUCUUAUAUUUGGAUAAAAUUAUUACUGAAUAAAAUAGCAUCAAGAAAAAAACAAGAGGAACAUAUGAUCAAAAUGCGGUCUGUUAGUGUGCUAAUAUGCAUCUUUGGUGGUACUUUUGCUAAAAACUGAGUGCCCAAAUGAAAGUAAGUGCAACCAGGAGAAAGUAAAACAACCAUACACUGCCUAAAAACAUAGUACAAACUUCACUGACCCUGCUGAAGACGAAAACAAGAGGCUGGAUGAAGAAGCUGCUCCACAGUACUCAAGGAUCGUGGUGAGAGAUGAAAACUUAGAGCUUCAUGGAGAAAUUGCAUGUCUGAAGGUUGUAGAUAGGGCUAGUCAAUCAGUUCAGGUACAAAAAGGGCCCCAGACUGCAGCAAAAUGAACUGAAAGGAUAUCUUCUGAACCUAUAAAAGCUCCAGUUUCUCUAGCAAGGGGAAAAUUCAGAGUUAUACCUAUUGAGUAGAUUUCCAGGCCCGACAGUAUGCAGUGUGCAUGCGAACUCGACCUCUAAACAGAAUACAAUCCGUGCUGGCGGCUGAUAGCUUUCCGAUUGGAACACACAACACGGCUCCCUGCAAAAAGCAAAAAACACAAUAUGGCUUGGCUGAUUGAUUUUCAUUGACUUGAUUCCCGGGAGGAUUACGUACGCUCAAGAUGAGAAAGGCACACCUCCGUACGCCUGAAUCAAGUGCAUUGGUAUACACUAGGCCGUUGCCACACAUCCUGGAGAUACAAGGCACGUCAACAACGCAUCUAUACGCGGCAACGUUGCAGACACAUAGACGGUCAAUCGCACGCACAAUGUCUGUACCAUAUCAGCACAUCCUGUACAAUAUAACUGCUAUGACAUCAAGUGCAUCGGUACCAUGACGCCACCGUAACACCGUUAUCAACUUUGUAUAAUAUAACUGCAGGUACUACUUCUGUGAUUAAAUUUUUGCAUUCUAACAUGUCUGAACAAGUUCCUUACAACUAAUCUGGUAUCAUAUGCAUUAUUAUAGUAGAGUAAAACACUUAUUUCUAAUCAAAAUUUAUAGAUAAAUCUUCUAUUAUAUACUUAAGACAAAAGGCAAACAAGCCAUCACGUUUAUACACAUAUGCUCAAAGAAUUACCAUUGAUUUUAUUUAGAACGGUCGAGAUUGAAAGAUGAACAAAGAUAUGUACAGCACCUAUUCGGUACAAUAAAUUGUUGACACGUAUAAAGAGAUCUAUCAUGAAAAAAAAAACAGUCUUUGGCACGUGAAAAGAGUUUAUCAUAGGCAGGUAUGCGAUAAUCUAUCAUAGAAGGGAACCCAAGGAACUCUAUGCUUGGCUAGGAAAAAGGCCAAUCCGGUUCAACUUCAGAAAAGAAUAGAAGUCCGGUUGCAAGACUGCUGCUUCUUUGCUGGAAUUUAAGCCGAUGCAAGCCGAUGCAAAAGCUAGAGAAAGUCACGUACAAAUAAAAAGGCAAGGUCCUACUAUGACAUCUACUAUCCAAGCAGACACAAAAAAGAACAGAAAAACAUACGAUGCAAGCCUAUUAAAUCGGAACGUGCACACGGUCAGCCCAACAUGUUGUAGAUUCUUAAAAAGAAAAACAUGUUGUACAGGGACACAAUUGUUUUAUCUUGGAGUUGGUACAUGGGCACAAAUUAAUAACGGCUCGAGAGGCUAUGGUAUUUUUUUUAUGGAGGCUAUAGGCUAGCUCUACGCAUGUUGUAACACAAACAGGAAUUCACGGUGGGCAAAUCAGUGCUGAUGUCACCUGUCAAAUCUUACGUGCAAAUAUCAUAGAUAAUACCAGCAGCCUAAUUGAUCAAAUCUUGCAUGCAAUCAGCGUUUCAGUGGCACUCAAGAAGUGGGCGAUGCAUUUAUUUGCUUAUCCUUACAAACUCCAUAAAAAAUCCAUACGAGUUAGAAAGUGAAUGGCAAAUGAGAUGGUUGCCCUGAAACUAAAUGAAAUGAUAAACUAAAAGACAAUAGCAAGUUUGUUUUUUGUAUGAAAUCAAUAACAAAACUUGCAAUCACUUUAUAUAAAAUUGUUGGUUUGAUUUAUAGAAAAUCAGAAUUAAUAAUGAAACAAUAUCAAAAACUAUUUUGUGCAGUGAUACAAUGCCCCUAAAUCACUAAAUGCAGACUAACCUUUAUAUAUGCACCAUCUUAUUUUCUGAACAAAUACUUCGCAUCUCUGCAGAUAUGGAUAUGAAGAAUCAAAAUUAGUAGGUAAUUUGACAUUCUUCUUUCCUGCAAAAUCUAAAAGAGUCAAGUAAAAAUAUCUAAAAGAGUCCAUAAUUAACUAAAUUUUGGAAAUUGCCGAUCAAGAGUUAAUACAUGAAACCAAUCCUAAAAUUCGAAUAAAAAUAAAAUCACUUUGAAUGUGCUAGGCAUACAUAAAAAUCUUCUAUUAGGUGACGAUGACAUAGUAAAGAGGAAUCAAUGAAUCACUUUGAAUGUGCUAGGCAUGUUUAACGAGUGAAUUGCGUCAAGUCUCAACAUUGCUCAUGGUCAUACCUAAUAAAGAGGAAUCAAUGAAUUAGAUUUGGGGGCUUAUAGGCAAUUGCUCAUGGUAGUAAAGAGGAAUCAAUGAAUUAGAUUUGGAUUCACAGCCAUACCUAAUAAACCAGCAAGUCUCAGCAUUGCUCAUGGUCCUUCAAUUUCUCACUGCCCCUUCUAUUUGGCUCGUCAAUCCUUCACUACCCUGCAGCAAGAC
rnacentral:lncRNA from 1 species